CACAAGAUAUACCUGUAGUCAUGCCGUAAACGAUGAGUGCUAGGGUUGGAGGGUUCGCCUUCAGUGCCGGAGCUAACGCAUAAGCACUCCGCCUGGGGAGUACGACCCCAAGGUUGAAACUCAAAGGAAUGACGGGGGCCCGCACAAGCGGGUGGAGCAUGUGGUUUAAUUCGAAGCUACGCGAAGAACCUUACCAGGUCUUGACAUCUUGCGCCAACCCUAGAGAUAGGGCGUUUCCUUCGGGAACGCAAUGACAGGUGGUGCAUGGUCGUCGUCAGCUCGUGUCGUGAGAUGUUGGGUUAAGUCCCGCAACGAGCGCAACCCUUGUUACUAGUUGCCAGCAUUAAGUUGGGCACUCUAGUGAGACUGCCGGUGACAAACCGGAGGAAGGUGGGGACGACGUCAGAUCAUCAUGCCCCUUAUGACCUGGGCUACACACGUGCUACAAUGGACGGUACAACGAGUCGCGAACUCGCGAGGGCAAGCAAAUCUCUUAAAACCGUUCUCAGUUCGGACUGCAGGCUGCAACUCGCCUGCACGAAGUCGGAAUCGCUAGUAAUCGCGGAUCAGCAUGCCGCGGUGAAUACGUUCCCGGGCCUUGUACACACCGCCCGUCACACCAUGAGAGUUUGUAACACCCAAAGUCGGUGGGGUAACCUUUUAGGAGCCAGCCGCGCUAAGGGGGACAGAGAUUAAGGGUGAAGUCGUAACAGUACAGGGC
rnacentral:rRNA from 1 species